rnacentral:tRNA from 1 species
GCCCCUAUAGCUCAGUGGUAGAGCGCGCCACUCGUAAUGGCGAGGUCAGGUGUG